rnacentral:rRNA from 1 species
UGGGGAAUCUUGCACAAUGGGGGCAACCCUGAUGCAGCGACGCCGCGUGAGCGAUGAAGCCCUUCGGGGCGUAAAGCUCUUUCGACCGGAACGAUAAUGACGGUACCGGGAGAAGAAGCUGCGGCUAACUACGUGCCAGCAGCCGCGGUAAUACGUAGGCAGCAAGCGUUGUUCGGAGUUACUGGGCGUAAAGAGUGCGUAGGCGGUUUUCUAAGUUCGGUGUGAAAUCUCCCGGCUUAACUGGGAGGGCGCGCCGAAGACUGGGAAGCUGGAGUGUGGGAAAGGCAGGCGGAAUUCCUGGUGUAGCGGUGAAAUGCGUAGAUAUCAGGAGGAACACCGGCGGUGUAGACGGCUUGCUAGACCAUAACUGACGCUGUGGCACGAAAGCGUGGGUAGCAAACA